GUGGGGAAUUGUUCACAAUGGGCGCAAGCCUGAUGACGCAACGCCGCGUGGAGGAUGAAGGUCUUCGGAUUGUAAACUCCUGUUGCUCGGGACGAAAUGCUCCAACCUAAUACGUUGGAGUUUGACGGUACCGAGUGAGGAAGCCCCGGCUAACUCUGUGCCAGCAGCCGCGGUAAUACAGAGGGGGCAAGCGUUGUUCGGAAUUACUGGGCGUAAAGGGCGCGUAGGCGGCCUGUUAAGUCGAACGUGAAAUCCCCGGGCUCAACCCGGGAACUGCGUCCGAAACUGGCAGGCUCGAAUUCGGGAGAGGGAUGCGGAAUUCCAGGUGUAGCGGUGAAAUGCGUAGAUAUCUGGAGGAACAUCGGUGGCGAAGGCGGCAUCCUGGACACAUAUUGACGCUGAGGUGCGAAAGCGUGGGGAGCAAA
rnacentral:rRNA from 1 species